rnacentral:rRNA from 1 species
UACGUAGGGUGCAAGCGUUAUCCGGAAUUAUUGGGCGUAAAGAGCUCGUAGGCGGUUUGUCGCGUCUGCUGUGAAAACCCGAGGCUCAACCUCGGGCCUGCAGUGGGUACGGGCAGACUAGAGUGCGGUAGGGGAGAUUGGAAUUCCUGGUGUAGCGGUGAAAUGCGCAGAUAUCAGGAGGAACACCAGUGGCGAAGGCGGUGCUCUGGGCCGGAACUGACGCUGAGGAGCGAAAGCGUGGGGAGCAAAUGGG